AUGGCGCCUCCUCCCCACGAGAACGAGACGAGCAGGUCCGUCGCCAUCAGUUCAUCCGACAUGAACCGGUCGGAGUCGGCACCGGCCACCCCUGUGAAGACGGUGGACGUGCAGACGGCGGCGGCACCGGACGUGGGGGUGACGGCAGUGGACGUGCAGACGGCGGCGGCACCGGCCGUGGGGGUGACGACGGUGGACGUGCAGACGGCGGCAACGCCGGCCGUGGACACGAAGACGGUGGCGACACCGGCGGUGGAAGUGACGACGGUGGACGUGCAGACGGCGGCGAGGGAGCAGCAGGACGGCAUGAUGUACCUGGACGUGAGGACGGAGGAGGAGAUGGGGAAGGGCCACAUCGGCGGCUCCCUCAACGUCCCCUACUUCUUCGUCACACCACAAGGGACCCGGGAGAAGAACCCACGGUUCGUGGAGCAGGUCGCCUCGCUCUUCAGCACAGACCAACACAUACUCGUCGGGUGUCAGAGCGGCAAGAGGUCCGAGCUUGCCUGCAUCGAUCUUCUAGCAGCUGGAUUCAUGAAUGUGAAGAACGUGGGAGGAGGCUACGCUGCGUGGCUGCACAACGGACUCCCAGUGACAGUAGCAGUCCCCACGCCGCCACCAACACCUGAAUCUGCUGCAGCAAUCUGA
rnacentral:rRNA from 1 species